rnacentral:pre_miRNA from 1 species
UUAACUGAAAUUCAUAUGGAGUUGGAACGUUUGCCUACGUUUGCCGCUAGGGGCGCUGUUCCAGUGCACACAAAUAUGAGUUA